CCAUCAUUUGUUAUGGGGGGAUAGCACGGGGAACUCGUAUUAAUACCGCAUACGACCUACGGGAGAAAGGGGGCAGUUUACUGCUCUCGCUAUUAGAUGAGCCUAAGUCGGAUUAGCUAGAUGGUGGGGUAAAGGCCUACCAUGGCGACGAUCUGUAGCUGGUCUGAGAGGAUGAUCAGCCACACCGGGACUGAGACACGGCCCGGACUCCUACGGGAGGCAGCAGUGGGGAAUAUUGGACAAUGGGGGAAACCCUGAUCCAGCCAUGCCGCGUGUGUGAAGAAGGCCUUUUGGUUGUAAAGCACUUUAAGCAGUGAAGAAGACUCCAUGGUUAAUACCCAUGGACGAUGACAUUAGCUGCAGAAUAAGCACCGGCUAACUCUGUGCCAGCAGCCGCGGUAAUACAGAGGGUGCAAGCGUUAAUCGGAAUUACUGGGCGUAAAGGGAGCGUAGGUGGCUCUAUAAGUCAGAUGUGAAAUCCCCGGGCUUAACCUAGGAACUGCAUCUGAAACUGUAGAGCUAGAGUAUGUGAGAAGGAAGGUAGAAAUUCCAGGUGUA
rnacentral:rRNA from 1 species